rnacentral:rRNA from 1 species
UCCUACGGGAGGCAGCAGUGAGGAAUAUUGGUCAAUGGACGCAAGUCUGAACCAGCCAUGCCGCGUGCAGGAAGAAGGUUCUAUGGAUUGUAAACUGCUUUUGUACAGGAAGAAAUUAUCCCUCGUGAGGGAGCUUGACAGUACUGUAAGAAUAAGGAUCGGCUAACUCCGUGCCAGCAGCCGCGGUAAUACGGAGGAUCCAAGCGUUAUCCGGAAUCAUUGGGUUUAAAGGGUUCGUAGGCGGAUUAGUAAGUCAGCGGUGAAAGUUUGCAGCUUAACUGUAAAAUUGCCAUUGAUACUGCUAGUCUUGAAUAUUUGUGAAGUAGCUAGAAUAUGUAGUGUAGCGGUGAAAUGCUUAGAUAUUACAUGGAAUACCAAUUGCGAAGGCAGGUUACUAACAAAUGAUUGACGCUGAUGGACGAAAGCGUGGGUAGCGAACAGGAUUAGAUACCCUGGUAGUCCACGCCGUAAACGAUGGAUACUAGCUGUUUGGUCGUAAGACUGAGUGGCUAAGCGAAAGUGAUAAGUAUCCCACCUGGGGAGUACGUUCGCAAGAAUGAAACUCAAAGGAAUUGACGG